rnacentral:rRNA from 1 species
AUUGAACGCUGGCGGCAGGCCUAACACAUGCAAGUCGAGCGGGGUUUUCGGACCUAGCGGCGGACGGGUGAGUAAUGCGUAGGAAGCUGCCCGAUAGAGGGGGAUACCAGUUGGAAACGACUGUUAAUACCGCAUAAUGUCUACGGACCAAAGUGUGGGACCUUCGGGCCACAUGCUAUCGGAUGCGCCCACGUGGGAUUAGCUAGUUGGUGAGGUAAUGGCUCACCAAGGCGACGAUCUCUAGCUGGUUUGAGAGGAUGAUCAGCCACACUGGAACUGAGACACGGUCCAGACUCCUACGGGAGGCAGCAGUGGGGAAUAUUGGACAAUGGGCGCAAGCCUGAUCCAGCCAUGCCGCGUGUGUGAAGAAGGCCUUCGGGUUGUAAAGCACUUUCAGCGAGGAGGAAGGGUGGUGUGUUAAUAGCACAUCAUUUUGACGUUACUCGCAGAAGAAGCACCGGCUAACUCUGUGCCAGCCGCCGCAGUAAUAC